AGUGAACGCUGGCGGUAGGCCUAACACAUGCAAGUCGAACGGCAGCACAGGAGAGCUUGCUCUCUGGGUGGCGAGUGGCGGACGGGUGAGGAAUACAUCGGAAUCUACUCUGUCGUGGGGGAUAACGUAGGGAAACUUACGCUAAUACCGCAUACGACCUACGGGUGAAAGCAGGGGACCUUCGGGCCUUGCGCGAUUGAAUGAGCCGAUGUCGGAUUAGCUAGUUGGCGGGGGAAAGGCCCACCAAGGCGACGAUCCGUAGCUGGUCUGAGAGGAUGAUCAGCCACCCUGGAACUGAGACACGGUCCAGACUCCUACGGGAGGCAGAAGUGGGGAAUAUUGGACAAUGGGCGCAAGCCUGAUCCAGCCAUACCGCGUGGGUGAAGAAGGCCUUCGGGUUGUAAAGCCCUUUUGUUGGGAAAGAAAUCCAGCUGGCUAAUACCCGGUUGGGAUGACGGUACCCAAAGAAUAAGCACCGGCUAACUUCGUGCCAGCCGCCGCCGUAA
rnacentral:rRNA from 1 species